AACAGAUGCUGAGAAAAAUCAUUGUUAAGGAGUUCCCAUUGUGGCUCAGCGGACGCUAAUCAGACUGGCAACCAUGAGGACGCAGGUUCAAUCUCUAGACUUGCUAGUUAGUGGGUUAAGGAGCCAGUGUUGCUGUGAGCUGUGGUGUAGGUCACAGAUGCAGCUCAGAUCCUGCAUUGCUGUGGCUGUGGGGUAGGCCAGCAGCUCUGAUUCCAUCUCUAGCCUGGGAACCUCUAUAUGCCACAGGUGCGGCCCUAAAAAGACAAAACAAAAAAUUGUUUUUAAACAAAUAAAUGAAUCAUAGAGUGCUGUUAGCUUCUGCUUUCUCCUCCAUAUUUUGAAUUUAAUAACACUUGUCCUGUCUACAUCAAAAUUGUAAGGAUCAGAUGAAAUCUUAGAUGUGAUAUGUUUCGAAAACUGUAGUGCUUUCCAUGAUUUGCUAUUAAUAGCAGUGGUAUUAUCAUUAUUGUCAGGGUUAUUGUCAUUUUCUACUCUCACUGACAUCCUAGAAGGUUUCUAGCUGUUCUGUUGGCAUGGGAUGCUGGUCUAGAAUGUACCACCGUCACAUCAUGAGAUUGUCAGUAGCAAAAGUUAAACCGUGGAGGAAACAGAGGUCAGGCACCAGCCAGCAAUCACUGCCAUACCCAGGCUGCUAGGUCCCCCCACCCCCAGAAUUAAUGCUAAGCCCCAGAGGCACCUGUCAGAAAGCAUGAUUUUCCUGCUCUCCUCACAGUCAAUAUGCAACCCAACCAGCACCACAAUUGUUAUGCAUAACUAACUAGUAAUUUUGUAAAUAUGUCCCAUUGGUUACAAGCUGAGCCUGUUAAACCUAAAGUCCUUGCUAGAUAAUCCACUUCAAGCAUAUGAGAAGCAUUAUCUUCAUUGACUGAAGGCAAGAAGUAUUUAUUUCAAUGACAUAUGAAAGUUGUAACCCAAACAGGUGGUAUGUAGACUGUCUAGAUUCAGCCCUAAUCUCUGAAAGUUUUCUCAAGGACUUAGAGCUCUGUAACGGAAUAUUUCAGGAUUGAUCACUCUGCCUUAAAUAAUUAGAAGGUCUUAAUAAGCUGCUUAUAGCUUGAUAAAUUGGAUUGUUGAAACAGCCAUGCUUAUUGUGGGCUAAUAAGGUUGAGGUGUCAAGUUUUCUAAUGCAUUGUAAUCUCAGCACAGUGCAACACUUUAAACCCAUCUAUUAUCUGCCCCUUAAAAAUCAUAUCUUAAUUUAACUAGCGUAUCUUGCAAACUCAAUUUUUAAAGUGUUAGGUGUUUUAACAGCUUGGUUGGUAAUUUUGCAUUAUGUGAUAUACAUCUUAUUUCAAAAUUCACUGAUGCACAGAUACCCAAAUGUAUCUAGGCAUAUGCUAUUGUUUUUUAAAUGUUCUCAAUAUUAGACCCUCAACUUGGUUUGUUUUCCCAAGAUGCAGAGCCUUUAUAAAAGUAAAUAUUUGUUUACAAAUUCCAUAUUACUGGAUAUUUUCCAGAUGUUGAGUAUUGAGUUAUACUUAAAUGAAAAUAUAAGAGGUUAUUCUUAAUGAAAGAAUGCAUGAUGACUAUAUGAAAUUAAUAAGCUCUUCUUUGGAGCGUAUAACUCUUCUUUUUAAAAAAAAAGAAAAGAAGAAGAAUAAACAAUCUUGCACAUUCCAUGCCACGGUCAGUCAAGGAGAUUUUUGCCUCAUUCUGCAGUUUCACUGCAUAGAAUUUGGGGCUGAAAUUAAUAUAAGCUGUAAAAACCACUUUUAAUGAAUUUUAGAAAUAUUUUUAAGUUUAUAUUUUGUAUUAAAGAUGUUAUAAAUGCCAUGGCUUAUAUAAAAAGUUUUUUGAUUCUAUAUAUUUAAUAAAUACAUAGAGUGCCCACUAGCUAAGCCAGGCAAUGGGAAUAAAAAUAUGAAUAAGACACAGCCGCUGAACACCAAGCUCUCCGUCUAGGGAAGAGAGAUGCAUUAAGUAGUUAACUAUGGCAUCGCAUUAAUUGUGCUAAAAUCCAGCUGCAUAUGUUGAAAAUGCUAGGGCAAAACAGGUGGGAGUGAUUAAUGUUACCUAGAUGCGGGCAAAGAAGACUUUUCUUGGGAGGUGGUAUUUGAACUGGGUCUUGAAAUAUGAAAGGAAAUUGACCAGGCACUUGGCCCUGGUUGUGCAUUCUAAGCAGAGGGUGCAGCAAGAGCAAAGAAAUGAUGCAAUAAAAGUGCAUGACUUGUUUUUCAAAAAUGGUCUAAGUAAACCACAGAACACCUAGGUGGGUUGGCAGGUGAGGAGAAAGAGAGAAAAUGCCUACAGGUAUAAUUAUUGAAAAAUUGGCUGGGCCCGGAUUGUGAAUCACCACAUAUGCUGUGCUGUAGAGUUGAUGUAUUUAUGCCAUAGAAAUCCAACGGGCUGGGCAACAAUUAAUUGUACUUAAAAUAUAUCAAAUCCAUGCCUCUCCUUUAAAGCUUUCCUCGGUUUCAGCUCUUCCCAACACUUUCCGCUUCUGUGACCCUCAGUAUCUGCUCCACAGAGAUUAACAGUUAAGUAGUAUCGAUUUGUAUCAGGUGCAUCUUUUUCAUUUGUUUCAUUUUCCCUCCAUCAUCCUCUUCCAAACAUAAUUUUAAGCCUCUUGGAAGUUUGUCUGAGUCAGGCAAUUAAUUACUCGGAUCUUAAUGUCACCAAGUGCUAAGGUCAGAUAUCUUCUUGUUAGUGGUUCUCCUUCAAAGCUCUACCCUAGGGAUCUCUGUCCUUCGGGGCCCCAGGGGACCCCUUAGGAAUGUUCUCCUUUUGCCACUGCCCUUUUGCCCUUCCCUACGUGAUGCUGCUGUUUACAGGGCUUAGCAUUCCCUCAGGUGCCACCUCACAAACCCAUCCUCCUUAGGCCGCUGUCACAUUAGCUCCCAUUUUUCUCAAGGCUCAGCUUCUACCAAAUAAGCAUGUCACAAAGGGUUUUAGGGGAACUUGACGUCAGGAACUUCAUUUUUUAAGAGAAUGACUGUCAUGAGUCAUUGACAGGAUGACUGCUUCUUUGCCAAAGAAGCAAUGGAAAUUGUGCAGAAACUAAGCGUUUUUGCCACUCCAUGAGGUUAAACCCUGGAACUACUUUCAAGAGGCUAUAUGUUUCCUGGUUUUCAACCCCUGGCUCUUCAUUCGGAAUUCCAGAGGGUCAAUGGCAUUUUUAAAAAGCUUCACGGGCAAUUUUGAUAAAUAACCAGAGCGGAUAACUUCUGGAUGAGAAAGUUAGCAUUCCUUUUGAAAUAGAACGAGGACUGUAGAUGUCCCAUUCUACGGCAGAAUAAAAAUUGUUGCUGGAGGUCACGCUGUGGCUCAGCAGAAAAAAUCCGACUAGCAUCCAUAAGGAUGGGGAUUCGAUCCCCGGCCUUGCUCACUGGGUUAAGGUUCUGGCAUUGUCGUGAGCUGUGAUGAGGUCACAGAUAUGGCUCAGAUCCGGCGUUGCUGUGGCUGUGUCCUAGGCUGGCGGCUGUAGCUCCAGUUUGAUCAAUAAUCUGGGAACUUCCAUGUGCCACAGGCACGGCCCUAAAAAAAAAAGCACACAAAAAAUUGUUAAAUAAUUGUUGAAAUACUGUUUUAAAAUUUCUACCUCAUCCUUUUGGACGUUAUUCAAGGAAGUCGCAAGAAACCGAGAAAGAAAUAGAGGUUACAGUCAACCAGGAUCAUUGUUUAAAUCUCACUGUCCAAUUAGCCCUGGACAGUCUCUGUUGACCCAGCAUAAUCAUAAAUAGCCCCUUUCCACUUCCAAAAGAGUUGUAGUUUAGGCAAUUAAUAAAAUUUCUCUGUAUUUGAUGCCUGGGCUUUUGGAACCCAUUUUCCAUAUAGUUAAUAUUUAGGGGAACAUAGCUAUAUGGAAAAUGGGUUCUUACAGUCCAGACACACUUUUUCUAUAAUGACGAGGAGUAAAGGAGAAAAGGUAGUUUUCUGGUUGUUAUAGUAAUAAAUUGACACAGAAUAUUUCCUUAUUUUAGAGAUUUAGGUACUUAUAUGUAGAAAAACUACCUAGCUCUAAUCAUUAAAAUACAUUUAUAGAAAAAAAUAUUAGCAGACAUGGAUAGGUCAAGUUUUUUUUUUUUUUAAAGCAUUCAAAAAAGCAAAUUUGGGCAGAGGAGAUGCUAAACUAGAGGGACUUGAAUGUCCUGCUAAUAGUCAAAAGGAUGAAAAGUCCUAUUUCUUAAUUUUUUCUAACUCCUUGCUCACCAGAUGGCAUUGUAAGUCUUGAUAUGAAUUGUUGAGCUUCUGCGUUCAAAAAACAGGGACUUCAGCAUAGAAAGUGAGCCUUCCUGGCUCCGGAGAGGAAUACCUCCAUUGCCACUAUUAAUUUUAAAACUGCCAGUUUGGUUUAUACAUGUGGUUAUAGUUUGGACCAGUCUCACCAAGGAUGAUCUGUUGCCUCAAGUCAGCCAUCCUCUGUGCCCGCAAACCUGAGGGUUGAAUCUGAGCCAGGAGCAAAUCCUUUUAGGUCACUGGAUCUCGAGGGACCACUGGACUUACUCGGAGGGUGUAUUGAACCCGAGUGCUGCGUGCCACCUCAGAAUGUGUAAUUCAGUGUAUCUGGUGUGGCGAGUAUGUGAUUCUAAGGCUCGUGCACAAGUGCUGCUGAUCCUGGGCCACACCUAGAUAAGGACUGAGCCCAAUAAUCCCACCUUUUGACACCUCUUGGCAGCCAGCCAGCCAGCAGCGCCCCACCCCCACCCCACCCCAGAGCUUGGUCUGCUUUUGCUUCUAUUUGGAACCUCAAUAAUCCGCGUAUCCACCGUCAAACCUGCCUUCUAGAAAAGACUUCAGUAGAGGACUUCUAAUCCACCUGGCUCACAAAGCCAAUUAUGUUAUCCUUUGUUUGUCCUUGGUACGAAUUGGCACAUCGGGUGGGUGAGGAAGCCUGUGGGAAAGUCACUGAAUUUCAUAUACGAAUCUGUCAGUGUCAUCCGGGGAGGGAUUUUAACUCUAAAGCGAGCAUUUCUGUGCACCCUCUAUUUUAGAGAGCCGUGGAGUGAUCGGAGUUUGAAAUCCCAAUUCAUCUCUAACCCCACACACAUGCUCGCGCGCGCACACACACACACACACACACAUUCAUGCAGAUAAACACACCCUACGAACUCCACAUUCCAAAUGUACUAAACAUAUGUUUUAAACGCAUGCAAAAAGUACAAGUCACCAUGUAUCUCAGAAAGUGCGUGUAACUCACUUCACGCUUCACGCUCACUGUAUGUUUGGUAAUUGUCCCAAAGGGCCAGUUUAACUCAUAUACAGGAUCUUUUCAUUAAAAACUGGGUGAAGCAGUGCUGCACUUUCGAUGUAUUAGCUACAAUUCUGCAUGAGCGGGAGUGACGAGUAAUAUCGCAAACUCCAGUCUCACGGACAAAGAAAAAGGAAAAAAACAAACAAGACACUCAUCUAGAAUAGAACUGAAUCGGUUGAAUAUACUGUUCCGCAGAAGAUUAGAGUAAGUCACUCGAAGAACGACCAUUUCUUUUUAAAUUUAAAUUUCAACCCAGUGAAAUGCAAUUUGAUGUUUGACCUAUUUGUUAGAUCUUCUGACCUUAUUCUGACCUCAGGCUUUGGGGGACCAUUUGAAAAUAAUAGUUUAUAAUUUGAAGAGAGAGUUGUCACAGAAUUGAGUAUAAGUAAACAAAUCUCUGUGUGUACUUUUAGCAAAGACUAGUUAUCACUUGGAUUCUUAGCAAAAAUGGUUGACAUCUUCAAAUGCACUUUUAAGAGCCUGCAACCUGACUUAUUCUUCAAUAAACAUAACCUGGUAGGUUUAACUAAUUUUGAAUCAUGGGUCAAGAGUCAGAGAAGCCUUUAGAAGUCAGGCACCCUCUCCCUAGAAAAAUAAAUCUGAGCAAGCAAACGCAGAAUUUUAAGGAUACAUCAGCGUGUCCCUAGAUGCUCUAAAACCUAUUGAUGAGCUUCUAGUUAAGGAUUCUGCCUAUAGUUAUAAAGAGGGAGGUUGAACUUGAAGUUAGACAUGCUGGCUUCUUUCUGAUCACAUCACCAGUAUCAGCCAGGUAUCUGACCCAGCCAAGGCACACUUCCUUCUGGCUUCCUCAUCAGUUAGAAGGAGGAGCUGGGCCAGAGGAUGGUUUUGGUCCUUCCUAGCUCCAAGUAUGUGGUCAUCCGUCAUCCACGAUGAUCCUGAGGGCUAGUUCUUCCCUCUUUCCGUGUUUCCCCUUUUUUCUCCCACAGCUGUUUUUAGAGUUUUGGAUCAGUAUAACUUAUGAACCUUCCUAAUCCCUGUAUUUGAUUAGUUUAGGGAAACUCCUCUUUCUAUCAUUUUCUCACUCGACCACCUUCAUCUCUCUAUAUAAGGCCUAACUUCUGAUAGAGGGCAUUUAAAGAGGGGAAAUCCCUAAACUCAGAGUAGCUGGACCUGGAGGUCAAGUUGGUUGAUGGGGACUUCCUUGCCUGGACUUUCCACAAAAGAAGAUGGGUAGGAAGCUAACUGGAUUCAGCAGAAGUUAGGUGAUUACUUAUCUUCUAUGCAGUUGUCCCAUUAUACUGUGAUUUUUUUUUUUUCUUUUGUUAGGGCCGCACCUGUGGCAUAUGGAAUUUCCCAGGCUGGGGUCAAAUCAGAGCUGCAGCUGCCAGCCUACACUACAGCCACAGCAAUGUUAGGUCUGAGCUGCAUCUGCAACCUAUACCACAGCUCACAGCAAUGCCAGAUCCUUAACCCACUGAGCAAAACCAGGUAUCGAACCCACGUGGAUACUAGUCAGGUUGGUUACUGCUGAGCCACAACAGGAACGCCUAUAUUGUGACUUUAAAAAAAUAUUUUAAUACUACUUCUUGUGGACCAGAAAUGCAAAUAAGCUGUUGAUAAGCAAAAAGCUAAAUUUACAAAAGCAAAGAUAAGAAAUACAGUGACAAAACCGUACAGUGAAGAGGGCCCUCUGGGGACACACUAAGUGGGUGUGGGGGAGGGUGGGAGGUACACCUUAGGGCAAACUUGUCCUAAGCAGAAUGUUUCAAGACUGCCGUAGGAGUUCCUGUUGUGGCUCAGCAGAGACAAACCCAACUAGUAUCCAUGAGGAUACAUGUUUGAUCCCUGGCCUUGCUCAGUGGGUUAAGGAUCCAGCGUUGCUCUGAGCUGUGGCAUAAGUCAGCAGCUGUAGCUCUGAUGACUCCAGCCUGGGAACUUCCAUAUAUUGCAGUUGCAGCCCUAAAAAGCAAAAAAAAAAAAAAAA
ensembl:lncRNA